AGAAAAGGAGGAAAAAAGGGAAGGUGAAAUUUACUCAUCUAGCCAAGGGGAGUUCAAAGUGACAUAAUGAUAUAAAGUAGUUUCACCUUCCCUUUUUUCCUCCUUUUCUCUAAAAUCUACAAAUACAUUUCAACUCCAUUAAAUUGGAGUGAGAACAUUAUCUUGAAAAAUAUACAUACAAUUGAACUUCUGUAAUUGCUGAAGCUCUAAAUUAGUAAAUAGUAUACAAAACCUGCUUCUAAAAAAUCCCCAGUUCAGAAUAUAAUUCCCAGGAUGAACAAGCUUUCCAAACUUGAGAAGGAAUUGAUGACAAAAGAUGAGGCAAAUAACUUACUGCUGCAACAACCUAUGGCCGCCAAUCAUCUACUAGAGCCUAUAACGGUCAAUGGUUCAAUUUCCUUCAAUUAAUCUGAGUUAUUAGAUUUGCCCGCCAAAAAAAAAA
rnacentral:misc_RNA from 1 species